UAUAGAUCUGGAUUAAGUUCAUGUCUAGAUAAAAAAACUUAUUUGCAGCUUAUGGCAUAGGUGCUUAUCAUAAUAAGCACUUAUUUAUAAGCAUAAGCUAUUUUUAUACCGAAAGUAAUACUGCAUGAGAUGUCAACGGGUUGCAUUUGUGAGUUUCAACCGACAAAGACAAAUGCCGAUUUGGGUCGUUUGUGCAACUGGGUUCACAGUUGACCCGUACACAUGAACACCUCUAGCUCUAGGUAUAGAUUUUGACUUUCACUUUUCUUGUCUUACAAAAUCAGCACGCGAAGCUGCCUCAGCACCUCCACACUCUCCGCCAUCUGAUCAAUUCCAAUUUUACCCUUCCUGUCACCGCCUCUCUUAAUCCUCACUUUCGGUUAAUCGAUUUCACAGCUUAAUGGUGAAAUCAUACAAACAAGAACACGUAUAUAACCAUCCAUGGGAACGAGUAACCUCAGCAUCAUGGCGAAAAUUCACCGACGCUGAAAACAAGCGUGUUUUACCACACAUUCUAGAUUGCAAUACAUUGAACACAAGCCUUGAUUCAUCCUCCGGGAAGCUGUACGCGACGCGCGCUAUAACCGUUCGUUGUCCGUGGCUGGUACGAAGGAUUAUCGGUGAAGACAUUUGUCAUUGUGUUGAAUCAACAGUUGUGGAUGCAAAAUCGCGUUCGAUGCAGAUUUGUUAUAGGAAUAUUAGUAUGGAGAAGUUUAUUGAAGUGGAAGAGAAGACUAGGUAUGAUCCACAUCCGGAUAAUCCGAAUGGAUGGACUGUUUGUCAGCAGGAGACGAGGAUUCGGAUUAAGCCGUUGUCUGCUUUGGCUUCUAUGGCGGAGAAAGUUGAGCAGAGGUGUGCUGAUAGGUUUCUUCAGAAUAGUGCUAAGAGUAGAGAUGUUAUGGAGAGGAUUUGCAAAUAUCUUGAGGCUGAGUCUAGCUCAUUUUCUUUGUGAUUGUUUCUGAUAUAACUUUGGAUUUCGAUUGAUUCUCUGCAGACAAACCAAGAUCAGUUGACUCAUAUUACUCUCUAGUCUCUUGCAACAUAUGAACAAGCAAUGUAUUCAGCCUGACAAGAUGAUAGGUGUAUCAACAAACCUACUUACAACUCCCACAACAAAGCACAAGUAUGGUCUACUGUGGCAAAGGAUUGCACCCCAACAUAUUCAAUCUUUUUAAAAUUUCCCUCAUGUACUUCUGCUGAUGCAAUAUAAUACCUGAGCUUGUUUGAUGAGAGAGACUGCAGACCAAGGAAGUAGCUUAGUUUUCCCAUAUCAGUCAAUAUCUCAAAUUCAUUGUGCAUCGUUCUCUUGAAUGCAUCGAUUUCACUUCGAUCAUUCCUUGUGAAUAGUAAAUCAUCAACGUAUAGGAAGAUCAACAUUAUAUUCUCUGAGCUUUGCUUUGAUUUCACAUAAA